rnacentral:rRNA from 1 species
UACAGAGGGUGCAAGCGUUAAUCGGAUUUACUGGGCGUAAAGCGCGCGUAGGCGGCUAAUUAAGUCAAAUGUGAAAUCCCCGAGCUUAACUUGGGAAUUGCAUUCGAUACUGGUUAGCUAGAGUGUGGGAGAGGAUGGUGGAAUUCCGGGUGUAGUGGUGAAAUGCGUAGAUAUCCGGAGGAACACCAGUGGCGAAGGCGGCCUUCUGGGAUGAGUCCUGACGCUCAGACACGAAAGCUAGGGAGCGAACGGG